rnacentral:rRNA from 1 species
CGUUCCUACGGGACGCAGCAGUAGGGAAUAUUGCACAAUGGGGGAAACCCUGGUGCAGCGACGCCGCGUGAAGGAUGAAGUAUUUCGGUAUGUAAACUUCUAUCAGCAAGGAAGAAAAUGAUGGUACUUGACUAAGAAGCCCCGGCUAAAUACGUGCCAGCAGCCGCGGUAAUACGUAGGGGGCAAGCGUUAUCCGGAUUUACUGGGUGUAAAGGGAGCGUAGACGGUGCAGCAAGUCUGAUGUGAAAGGUCGGGGCCCAACCCCGGGACUGCAUUGGAAACUGUUGAACUAGAGUACAGGAGAG